rnacentral:rRNA from 1 species
UACAGAGGUGGCAAGCGUUGUUCGGAAUUACUGGGCGUAAAGGGCGCGUAGGCGGCCAUCUAAGUCAGACGUGAAAUCCCCCGGCUUAACCUGGGAACUGCGUCUGAUACUGGAAGGCUUGAGUAUGGGAGAGGGACGUAGAAUUCCAGGUGUAGCGGUGAAAUGCGUAGAUAUCUGGAGGAAUACCGGUGGCGAAGGCGGCAUCCUGGACCAUUACUGACGCUGAGGCGCGAAAGCUAGGGGAGCAAACGGG